UAUCUUCCCGCCAAUUAUGGUGGCUCUAAGAACACACUUAGCUUUCAUCGUGCGCAGAUGCAUAGGUCAUUUAGGAAACUUUCAUGGAUCGUCCUGCACAGAUCGUUCCACCGUGGAAGCAUGAAAGUCUGACUAAUACGUGUCAUCAAUAACACGAGCGCUAAAUUUCCAAAAAUCAUUGGCGGAAGUAAAGAGGGGCCCGCAAACGUGUAUCGCCUCUUCGUUUAAUUCGUUGUCAUGUUUACGGACCGUCAACGCGUACAUUUACGAUCAACCGUCUCACCUGUUUUACGACCACUCUGUAUAUAUGGGCGUAAAAGGCUGCAAUUAUUAGCGCUGGGAAGAUGAUCGUGGCGAAGUAGAGGAACACUAGGUAAUCGUAAUCCAUCACUUCGGUGAAGAUGCAUUUCUCGUUCGAUUUCUUGCCGGUGUUCCAGCCUAACAGCGGCAGAAAACCGACCAGUGUCCCGGCGACCCAGCACAGGCAAAUUAUACCUGCAAUUAGACGGGGAGUUAUCAUUGCUGUCGUCAGUUUUUGUAAGCGGUCCUUCGCAGCCAGCGUUUGCAAACGAUUCGAACAGGAUUCGAUCGUAUACGCCGCCGCAAAACUGCUGCAAUGGUUUAUCAAAAAAAAAAAAGAAAAACAAUUGCGUACGAGGGAUAGAUCCCCCGCAGCAAAAAGUGAUAGUGCGGAAAGUCGGUCAACGGUACCGUCGAUAGGAGCGCACGUGAACAUUAUCGAUUGCAGAGCAGGAAACCUCGACGACAGUUCCGAGCAAAGACAGCUGUAAUCGGAGACGAACGAGGAUCGAAAUCAGCGCAAGUGAUGCGAGUCAAUCGCAUCGAGGACCAGCUAAAAAUUCGCGGGAUCGACCGACGAGUAUGGAUAUCUUACCGUUGCACAAUCCAACGAACCAGUUGUAACAGCGUUUCCCAGAAGACCCGCGCGCGCAUUCGUUUAAUUAAACAGAGACGGAACAACA